UGUUAAAAAUUCCAUUCAUUCAUAUAGUGAAAAAUGGUUAACUGGUAUAAUAAUCAGACAGUGACACGUGACAUGCCAUGUUACUUCAUGCUGACAUAUAUGAACCAGUUUUUAACGUUAGAAAUAAAUAAUAUUUUUAACA
rnacentral:pre_miRNA from 1 species